rnacentral:other from 1 species
UGGGAACUGCGGUUUCGCGUUAGACAUAUAUUUCCCUUGAGCCACAAUGAUUCUCAUAGGGAGCUGUCCCUGACCAGGCCGUGGCCUGGUUAUAUGGCGCCCACCUGUACACACAGGUCUCAUGAGGAACUUUUCGUCGACGGUUAUCUGUGGGCCCAUU